GCAUGAGCCACCACACCCAGCCUUAAUUCUUUUUAUAACUUUAAAAAUACUUCUUAUCCUGUGUUUCUGAACGUUAUGAUCUACUGUAACAAAACAAAGUGAAUAAGUUAGCAGAAUUACACUUAUUCCAACUUCCCUAGCAUCCUAUUUUUGGUUGGUAUUCUCUGCACAUUUUUUGCCAUUUUGGUUAAUCUGUUGUGAUUUUUAUCUUAUUAAAAUUAUUAACAUUUAUUCAGAAAAUACUUAUUGAUUAUUCCCUAAGUUCCAGGUUAUGUUGCUGCUAGUGGCUCAGUCAUACACAAAACAAAAUAUGUCCUCGGAAUAAAUAAUCUGUCCUCAGAGAGACUGCGGUCUAGAAGGGAAGAGAGAUGUGACUAAUUCCACAAUAGACGUGUAGUCUGCCUUGGUCUGUUCAGCUGCUAUAACAAAACGCUAUGAACUAAGUAGCCUGUAAAUAAUAAAAAUUUGUUUCUCACAGUUCUGGAGCCUGAAAGGCCAAGAUCAAGGCAGACUCAUUGUGUGGUGAGGGCCAUUUUUCCGGCUCAUAAACAGUGCUUUCUUCCUGUGUCCUCACAUGGUGGAAGGGACCAAUAAGCUCUUUGGGGCCCCUUUUAGAAGGGCACUAAGCCCAUUUAUGAAGGCACCAUCCUCAUGAGCUACUCACCUCCCAGAGGCCCCAUGUCCUAAUAGUAUCACCUUAAGGGUUAGAAUUUCGAUAUAUGAAUUUAUAGGGGCUGGGGGGUCACAAACAUUCAGAUUGCAAUAUAAAACUUUUCAGCUUCUUAGAGAGUGACACUUACCUUAUCAUUGGUGGCACUUUACAAUCUCCAUCAGCCACAUGGAAACCUGAUUAGAUUAGUGAUCAGGGAAACGUUUAUGUUCUGAUGUGUGUCCAGACUCAAGACUAUUAUUUGGACUUAAUUUCACAUUUAAACGAAUUCCCUGCUCACCAUCCACCCUUUCUUUGUCCAAUCCAUGUUUAGUUUAUGAUUUGGAUUCAUCUUUUGGUUGGCUGAAAUAAUUCUUCAUGUAGUAGUAAUAGCUGUUGCUGUUGAUUACAUUGUUUAAUUGAGAAAGUGCAUACACAGGAAACAAGUUCUCCUACAUGAGAUAUUGUCUUCUGCUGCCUUAUACAAGCAGGAACUUUGGCUAAGAGAAAAUCUUGGGUUCACAGACUCUUCACCUGAAGAAUUACAAAUACUGGCCUAACACAAUGUUCAGAUAGUUCUGAGGCCAGCCUCACAAGUUCCUUUAGUAAAUGAUCCUUUUCUUAUCACUAGGUGCUUGUGAGAUUCCACGCAUCAUACUAGAGGUGUGAGCACUGCACCUAAGGGUGCCUCGGAUCAUCCCUGAGAUGCAGGCACUGCACCAGGAGGUGUCUUGGAUCAUUCCUGAGGUGUGAGCACAUCAUCAGAAGGGACGGAAACGCCACCUGGCCAGGCCCUUCAGGGAUGUGACCGCAGUGGGCCCAGCCUGGGGCAAAUGCUGUGAGAUGGCACCACAUCAUGUUGGCAUGGGCUGCAGCCCCUCGUGAACAUUUCCUUUUGGUCCUUGUUAGCUGGUGCCUUUGGGUGAGUUUCAUGGUGGUGUCUCAUGGUGAGUAUCAAGCACGGCAGCAGGGAGCCCCCUCCACCCGCCCCACUCCCCCAGGACUCCAGGCUCCCCUCUCACCAGUUGUACAGAGAAGACGUCAGCCCACAGAACCAUGUGCUGUGUAAGCUCCUCACUGCAAACACCCCCAAAGGUCAGAGACCAGGGGACCCACAGGAGAGUGAGAGGCCUCCGCCUCUGAGGUCAGGCCUCUGACCAUGGCCGUGGGUGCUGUGAUGCCCUGCAUGGCUCUCCUCCCCCGGGAGGCCCGCCCGGCUCAGCUCUGUCUAUGGGGAAGGCCACAGAGCUCCGGGGGCUGGCUUUCCUCAGCCCCGAGUAAUUACAGACAUGUGUCUGCACAUGUCACUGGUCAGACUCCCACGACCCCGCAGUAGAUCCUCAUUAACCCGGGGACUUGAGGACUCUGAGAGGAGCAAGGGGCCGAGAGGAGAGAGGGAGACCUGGGCGCUGGCAGGGAUGGGGAACCUGCAGAGAGGCCCAGACGUCCUGUGCCCAUGCUGAUGGGCAAGGUAUGCCACCUGCCCCGCGAAUGACGAAGCGGGAGCCUGCCGCGGGACCAGGGACGGGCGCGGGGAGCCUGAGCAGAGCAGGUUGGGGAGCCACAGCGAAGAGUUUAUGAGCCGGCGUCCAGCCCCUCCCCUCUCCCUCCUGAGCACGGCUAUUAAACUCCUUCUGGCCUCCAGAUGCGCAGUCUGCAAGCUAGUUCCCUUUUGUUAUUUCAAGCUCAGGGCCUUGAUCUUUUGCCACUUUGGAAGAAGCGGAGAAACAAAGGGAUCUGGUGCUGUUGC
rnacentral:lncRNA from 1 species